UACGUAGGGACCGAGCGUUGUCCGGAAUCAUUGGGCGUAAAGAGCGUGUAGGCGGCCCCUUAAGUCCUGCGUGAAAUCCUGCGGCUCAACCGCAGACGGUCGUGGGAAACUGGAGGGCUAGAGUGCGGGAGAGGAGAGUGGAAUUCCCGGUGUAGCGGUGAAAUGCGCAGAUAUCGGGAAGAACACCCGUGGCGAAGGCGGCUCUCUGGAACGCAACUGACGCUGAGACGCGAAGGCGUGGGGAGCAAACAGG
rnacentral:rRNA from 1 species